GGCGGUGGCUCCCCGCUCCAGCAGGGGGCGCUGUGGCUGGGCCGCGUCUCCCUCACGCGGCGAUGGCGGCCGGGCCGGGCAGCGCCGGGGCUGAGGGGACCGCGGAGCGGGGCUGGGAGGGCACAGGAAAUGCAGCAGAAACUCUGCAGCUCCAGCAGGAGCCAUGUGUGGGGUUACAGUGCAGUGAAAACCCCUCAGAGCAGGGCAGAGGAACAGCAUGGCUGGGCAGCGGUGGCCCAGCUCCCGAGCACGGCCCAGAGAGGCUCCUCAGAGAGGCGAGGGACUCGGGGUCCCGGCUCUUCCCCUGAGAUGUGAGGGUCCCUUCCAGUGAAGUCAGGUGUUGACAAGGUCCCAGAGCAAUAACUACUCCUAGGAGCAGAACCUCACUCGUGUAAGGAAGAAGCAGGACAGGGCUGGGCUCUGGCGGUGGCAGUGAACUCCCCACAGUAAACAGCAGCUCCACUGUUCUCCUCUGGUGCCAACAGCAAGAGAGCGAGAGGAGUGAGCCCAGUUCCUCACCACCCUGCCAAAAUCUUGGAUAUCUCUGCCAUUCCAAAGAGAAAACCCUUCAGGUGUAUAACCCAUCGUCCAGAAUCCCUCCAGUGUCAGCUGAAUUCCUCGUGUUCAUAUUCCAAAGAAAACUACUGCAGUUGUCUUCAGCUGUUGCCUCUGUUGGUGGUCCUUGUAGAGAAGCCAAGGGCUGGGGUGAUCUCAGGAGACUGCUCAGGGGGAAUUCAGGGACGAGAAACUUAAUGGUUGCAGUUUUAUAGUCUUUAUCAGACCAUCAAGGCUGUAAUCAAAAGAUAAGAGUUUUCAUCCAUCAUCUCAAUCAAGUUUCAAGAGAAAAUCAUUGCAAGAGAGCCUCUGGUCAGUGGGUGCACCAUAACAUCUUACAAGAGUCCUGGAGCUCAGCAGGAGGUGCUGAAUUUUGUUGUGGAGCUACACAAGGGAGCUGCUGCUACUUCUUCCACUCGCUGAACUGUGUUCAAUGCAGUUUCUCUCCAGGUGGCACACUGGAAUGCCACCCUUCUAAGCACAGUGACCAAUCUUCUGGAUAUCCCUUCUUGGCAAAAGAUGGACUGGGGAGACCUUGAUGCCUUUUGAUGGGUUUCCUGCAUCCCAGUGUGAGUGAUUCAUUAAUCAUAUUUGUCCCUUCAAGAAGAAAAUUAACUGGGAUGCUCUGUAUUCUGCUGUGGCCGUGGGCUCUGUGAGAAUUGGCACACCAGGAGAUGUCGUGGGUGGCUGCUCUGGUGACACAGAGAGAGACAUAUGAGCAACACUCCAAAUGGAAUCCCUGACAAGAAGGAAUUUUGAAGCCCGACUUGAGUUCAAGAAUAACCCCAGAAGAAAAAUUCUUCUGCCUUCCCUCUUGAAAAGUGAGCCGAGACUUUACUACGUUUAUCCUCUUAGCACCUCUGUAAUUAUCUGUCUGUAGCAGAUGAGAAACAGGAGAACAUGCAGGUUUGCAAUUUGAGCUGGGCCACGCAGGAGCUCUUUGGCAGAGGAGGCAGCCUCCUGAGGGCUGUACAACAGCUACACCAGGAGAGAACCCUACACAGGACAAAACAGCUUCUAAAAUGUGAUUGAGGACUACCAGGAAACACCACAGCAAAUGCCCCAGAACACAGGAAAGAACCCACCAGCUGCAGGAAGGCAGCAUGAGGAUCAACAGAGCAACAUCCCAGAAGGAAUGCCAUGGCUGUACAGCCUGGAAAAUCCUGUGAUGCCGGCAAGAGCUGACCACUGGGGACAUCCCGGGUCUGGCAGCUGCCUCCCCGUAGCUGUUAAGCUAAUGGAAAGCAUAGGGCAUUCCUGACAUCCUACAGGUCUUCAGCAAGGACCAUGGAUGAAGAGUGCAGAAAAAGACAGUGAGAAGACAUUACUUCCUAUGUUAGCUGAGGAUAAUGAUGAAGCCACUCUCACAAGCAGAGCAGAUGGGGAGGUGACACAUCUACUGCUGGAGCUCAGCCCCCCAUGUUUGUUACAGCUGGCAGAGAGUCUUUCUCAGAGUUGUCACCUUUCCCCUCUGGGAAAGGGCUGAACAGCAGACAUCCAGCUAAAAUCCUGUGUCAACAGAUAAAGGCUACUGGUGAUUGCUGCAAAAUCUUCUACGGGCAGAGAGGAGUGGGAAGCCAUGGAAAGGCUUGGAUGCCUCACUCUUCUUGCUCCAGCUCUGAUGCAAGCGCUGGGGUGCCGAGUUUGCCAAAGCUGGCACGAGCACCCCGUGCCCGUCUAGACACAGCCUAACUGUGGCACUAAUGCCAGGCUUCCACAGGCUGAGCUCGUCAGAGCUCUGCCCACGGUCAGCACUUUGAUCUUUAUCCCUGAAAACCACAGCCAUUGACAAAGCUGAACUUCAUCAUAAAGCUUCUGAUUACAGCUGCAGCUCCAGGACCAGAGAGAGGUCAUGCUGUCUUGCUUUCUGCUGGUUUAAAAUCUGAAGGGGAAACCCUGGGACACUUCUGAGUCUGCCACCUUGUCGAAACAAUGAAGGAGCAGGAAUCUCCUUGGAGAGCAAUGGAUCACAGCACUUGUCAAGAUCAUUUCCAAAUCAAAGAUGACUUCCAAGGAGCAGCAAGGGCAUAAUUUUGGAGCCAGUCAAGCCAAUGGCAAAAAUCCCAAUUUCUGCACAGUAUUCUUAAUGAAGCUUCUGAAAUUUUGGAGCUUCAUGUACUAUAUAUUAUAUAUUAGAGAUGAUAUUGUGGCUGAAAGGUCCUGCCCAAAUUCAGCAUCUGUGAGCCUUACAGAGUCACGGGUCCAUCUGCCCAGUGACAGCACUGACAUUGUAAAUGUCACGAAGUGAAGCUGCUCCAGGAGCUGCUCCCAGUGCCCCAUCCUAUCAGCUCAGAUUGAGUUGGGAAGAGGUAAAGCGAGGAGAACAGGCAGUUUUUAAGGUCGCACCAAGAAGAAGAGCAGGGUUCACAGCACACACCAGCCCGGGAAGGCAGCAGAGGGACACAGGAUGGGGAGGGACAUGCAGACAGAGACACAGAGCUACAUCACACUCUAAGUUAUAGACUACUGAGCAACCAGGGACUUCUGCCAACUUGGAAACAAGAUAUGAACUAAAGAGUUUCUAUUUUUGCAUUAAAAUGGAAACAGGUGGGAAGGACGCGUGGAACUUAUCAAGCCACAUAAAUACUUUUUUUCAUGUUAAAAUCUGAAUGGAAUGGAAAUUACAAUCUUCCAGUGCUGCUGCAGAGCAGCAAUAUUGAGUUUCUCCUUACUCAGCCUUUAGCAGUAAGGAACCAGGUGCAGUGGAGCUGGAGUUCUGGAAUUUGCUUCCCAACUCCAUCUAACUCUCUCCUAGGUCUGCCCUAUUUUGAGUUAUUGCUCCACCUGGCACAGGGGAUGUUGCUGGCUCUGGAGAGAAGAGUCAAGUCUUGCAUUAGUUUUUUUAUAAAUUGCUAGCUGGAGAAUAAGAACAGGAAUGAACUGCUGCAUGGCAGAAAUCAGUGGUUUUCCCUUUUCCUACCUGAUUUAUGGCAGUGAACCUCCACUCCCACACUGAGCGAGGUGCUUUGGCUCAGCUCAGGUAUUUGCUGCGUGUGAGCACUGAGCCAGUGUGUGGUGGGGAGAGCAGAGCCACACCAUAGCUCUGCCUUUUGAACCAGACCUUUCCCACCCCCUUCCCACCUCCACGGCAGAAAACCUGAGGGAAGUGCCCCAGCUGAGGUGGAGCAUGUUCCUAGCAGGACUUACUAAAGCAAAACCCACAUCCAAAAUAAUUUUUGAAAUUAUGACAUAGUGUAAAUGAGACAGACUUUCCCAAAACACUUGGCUGUCUGUUGUCCAGGGAGUAGGAGCAGCUGCAGUUCUGGUUGGACAAAUAAGUAACCAAAUGGAUGGACAGACAAUCUAACAGACUCCUGACUGUCUUCACUCACCCUUAAUUAACAGUUCCCAGUAAACAGCCCUGGCUCUGUCAUUAUUUUAGAGCAGGAAGAUAUUGAUACAGUACUGCAAAUAUUGCCAUCAGCCCAGCCACAAAUGUAACCCAUGUGAAAUCCUACUGGAAUCAAAUGGAUCUGUCAAACUGCAUCUGUCCAGCUCAGCAAAGAGCCUGGGACCUUGAGCUUUUCCAGUAAAAUGUCCUGCAUGGCCCAUUCCAUGGGAAUGUGCCAUGUCUGCAGUGCUCUGUGCCACAGGCACCAGGGCAGCCUGCUACUGGCAGUAAGCUCCAAGUCUAAAUGAGCUUAAAAGGGGAUUCAAACACUUCUCCUGUUAUCAAGCUGCAUUUUUAAUUCAAACUAAGAACAGCUUUCUGUUAUGUUAAGGUUUGGAGGGCUGGCCAGUAAUAUACAUAUGUAUUUGAUUUUUUUUACCAUUUUGUGCUUACUGGUUGUUUCUUGUUUGCAACAGAAUCUGGAAUCCAAAGAGCAAAGUAUUUGCAAAAGCUCUAUGGCUUCAAGGUCUUUGAACUCCCAACACCAGGAGGAGAGGAAAAGCUCCCAAGACAGGCUGUUCUCCUGAGGCUCUCAGCCCAGUUUCCAGGAACUGGGGCAGUUCCAGUGCAUUCAGGAGGAUGGAUUUUCCUCCAGAGGGAGGAAAUAUCAGUCAGCCUUUCCCCCGAGGUCACACAGAGACUCAGCUGUCCUCUGUCUCUGGAAAGGAGAUGUUCCUUGGGAGGUGGCUGUCACUCCUGGUGCUCAGGUUUCCUGAUGCAGAUCUGCCUGACAAAACAACAACAACAACAAAGGCCUGAAAACAUGCUGUUGAUUUGGAGAAGAAUUUCCUCCACGCAUCCAGGAAAGUUCAGAGAAGAAAUUGCUUGCCUGGGAUGCAUAGCUGUUAAUACCUUCUCACAAGCUUUCCCACCCACAGAACGAAAAGCAAAAACCAGUUGGCUUUGGGGUAUAAACCAAAUUAGAAACAGGGAAGGGAAACCUACCAAGUACCCACAAGGAGUUUGGCUGAAGAACCGUGAUGCUUCUGAACAUUUGACUUGAUAUUCUCCCACAGAAAAUGAGAGGGAGGAAUGUUAGGCCAAAGCCUAAACAUUCAAUUGCUUUUAAAAAUGCUUCUUUAAGCCUUUAAGCCAAUUUGGGAGAUUGUGCAAAUGUUGUCCUCAUGCAAUAAAAACAAAUAAAAAAUUCCCAGUACUAAUCACGUUGGAAGUCAGAUAUCCUAAAUGUCCUCUUUCUUUUAUUUUUCCCAGCUGCUGCAUUAUCAACAGCCCAACAUGAGCAAGUCUAAGACCAGUCGUGGUCAGUAUCUGUGAAAAGAAUCCUUAAGAAAAUCUCCUGGGUGUAAAAAGCUAAAAGUCCUGCAGAUCAUUCCCACUUUGUUAGGAGAUAGCAUUGCUAUGGGAGAUUCUCACUGUAAAAAGCUCUCUGAGCUCACUUGUGUUCACAGAAGGUCCUAGAGGAGGUUUUAUAUGAGCAUCUUAGCUAAUAUUCACCCUGGACAAUUAGAAUUUUGUUUCUUUUAUUAAUUACGUUAAUUACUGACAGGGUCCAGGGCUUUCAGCCCAAGCCCCGUGCACAGCCCUGACUGCUCCGAGGUUUCCUUCCCUCCAGAACUAUCUCCUGCAAAGCAGACCCUGCACCUUCCUCACUACCAGGCGGAGUUUGGAGCAGUUCUCCUGCCCUUACAAGUCAGCCAGCAGAGAGCCUGCAGCUCCCUGCAGGGCUCCACAACCUCCUGCGAGGGUGGAGCAGGAAGAGGCUCCCGCAGUUCCCCUGCCGGCUGUCAGGGGGGAUGAGCAGCCCCGGGAAUGGCAGAGUCGGGCAGCCAUGAGCUGAUAGGGAGAGUGGAUGCUCUGAGGUUGAAGGGAAGGCAGGGGAGGGAAAGGAAAGGAAGGAAUAGAAAAAGAUGCAGGAAAACUGAGCUAAAAAAAAAAAAGGUAUUACUAAACUACUGGAAUGUGCUUCUGCCCAGUUUCCUAGGGAUGGUACAUGUAGAACAGGAGUGAAUAUGCUGUGAAAAUAACAGCAGCACAAGAGCAGGUCUCUGGUUCACCUGGAAGGAGAGAGGUGCACAGGCAUUUACAUAGCCUGUGUGAAAGAAAAAAUUUGGCCCUGAAGUGUUUGGCAUCAGCUCCUCAGUACCUCCACAAGUGGAUUUCCAGUCUUCAUGCAGAAAUCUUUGCACCUUCCCAUGCAAAGCCACACCUGAGUUCCAUGCGGGAAUCCUUGACAGUCACAUUUCAUAACCCCACUCCUUUUCCUGCCAAUGAACGAAAUGUCAUUCACUGCAGCUUCACAGGACUUGAUUUAGAAUGGAAUGAAUAUAAUUCAGUGUAAAUACAACAGUUUUCAGCACUUAGAGAAACUGCCCAUGGGGAUCACUUUGCUUCAGGCUUUUGCAUUCUGGGCACCAUGAGAAAUGGGCUUGGGGCUGGGCACGAGUCACUUUCCACAGGAGUUUGUGUGAUGGUGCUAAUCUUCUUCCAACUCUUCUUUGGACAGCAGUGGGAGGAGCUGAAACGUGGGGCAAAAACUCACAUCUGAGUAAACAACAUCACCAGCUGAGGUUUUACCUCCUGUCUGGCAUUGGCCAGCCGUGAGGGAUUUCACUGCAGCCACAAACCUGUUGUUCCAGCUCUCUCCAUACCCAGACCUGUGCACAAUACACACACAGCAUUUGGGGGCCCAUUCUUCCAGGUCAGCCCUUGCUUUCCCCCAUCACUCGUGUCCUGUGGCAUUGCUGCACUGACCCCAGGGCUUGGUGACCCUCAGCUGCUCCUUCAAGGAGGAAGAGCAUGAGGCUGGGCUCUUCCUCCCUCCCAAGGCUGCCUCGCAGCAC